rnacentral:rRNA from 1 species
GACGAACGCUGGCGGCGUGCCUAAUACAUGCAAGUCGAGCGAACAGAUGAAGUGCUUGCACUUCUGACGUUAGCGGCGAACGGGUGAGUAACACGUAAGGAAUCUACCUAUAAGCGGGGGAUAACAUUCGGAAACGGGUGCUAAUACCGCAUAAUAUCUUCUUCCGCAUGGAAGAAGAUUGAAAGACGGCUCUGCUGUCACUUAUAGAUGACCUUGCGGUGCAUUAGUUAGUUGGUGGGGUAAUGGCCUACCAAGACGAUGAUGCAUAGCCGACCUGAGAGGGUGAUCGGCCACAUGGGGACUGAGACACGGCCCAAACUCCUACGGGAGGCAGCAGUAGGGAAUCUUCCGCAAUGGGCGAAAGCCUGACGGAGCAAUGCCGCGUGAGUGAAGAAGGCCUUCGGGUCGUAAAACUCUGUUAUAAGAGAAGAACAAAUUGUAGAGUAACUGCUACAGUCUUGACGGUAUCUUAUCAGAAAGCCACGGCUAACUACGUGCCAGCCGCCGCAGUAA